ACAAGGCUAUGCUGCCUCCAAAGUGUGAUCUGGGAUGAAGCUCCAUGAGAGUAAACGGAAUACCAGCCGGUGGAAAAUAACAAGAUAAAACCUACAAGACAGGCAUACUCACUGUCAAAUCCUGCAUGUCCAGACGUAGAAAAGUCUCUGGAGGAAGGAGGAAAGGCCAACUCAAUUUUGAUCAAUGAUUUCCACAUCGAAGACUAUUGGAUGACUUGUGGGACUGUAUUUUCCGUAGCUUCUUCCUGUACAGAAGUCCAGGUCAAAGCCACAAGAGAGGCCCAGGAGGAAAUGGAGUCCAAAGCAUUAAAAAAUGAGUUUCUUUUUUUCUGACAUGAAAUUUCCUUCUUAAACUGCCAUUUCUGUGAGGUCAAUGAUAUGAACUUGUCAGGUCUUGAAUGGAUUGAGCAAAAUGGCUGCAUGAGUGAGUUCAUAGCUGCUGGGGCUGGGCCCAGUUAACAGCUAAGAAAAUGAAACUUCCAGGUUCACUGCUGUCUUCAGUGUCUACAGGCAACCAAGAAAUGCUUUCAGAAGCAGUAGCUGUCUCCUUAGAUGAAACCUUUCCUAACGUGAAUGGAAAGAGUAUAUGACUCUCUCUUUUGGACUUAAUUUAUAAAUAUUUUGAACAUACUAUGUUGUCAGAGGAAUUUUUCAGUUUUAAGUGACUAGAAAUAAAACUCAAAAUAGUUGAAUGAAAACAAAGAAAUUAACUGCUAAGUCCCAUCUCUGAGGUCUUAAGGGUCUCAGGGCCUUAAGAUCUCAGGUCUCUAUCUCCAUUCUUAAGACCUCAGGUCUCUAUCUCCAUUUUGUCUUCAAAUCUCAGGCCUCUAUCUCUAUUGCUAAGACCUCAGGUCUCUAUCUCCAUUCUCAAGAUCUCAGGUCUUAGCAUUUUGUCUUCAGAUCUCUGUUUUCUCUGGUGGCAAAUGGCUGCCAGCCUCAACCUACGUUUCUAUCCUAGUUGAAAAAUAAGGUCUUUUGUUAAGAAAAUGAUGGAGAAAAUGUUGAGAUUUAUUCUGCCUUUUCAUUUUCAAGCUGACUGUAUUACUAGAAUGAAAUAAAAGUGCUGUACUGGUCUGG
ensembl:lincRNA 8430436N08Rik RIKEN cDNA 8430436N08 gene